rnacentral:snoRNA from 1 species
CAAAAUAUUGCGGAAUCGGGUAGCUGAAGCUAUUCAGCCAGCGCUGCAU